rnacentral:rRNA from 1 species
GACAGAGGGGGCAAGCGUUGCUCGGAAUUACUGGGCGUAAAGGGCGCGUAGGCGGGAUGGCAAGUCGGUCGUGAAAUCCCUCGGCUCAACUGAGGAUCGUCGAUCGAUACUGCCGUUCUUGAGGAUUGCAGAGGAGACUGGAAUUCCCGGUGUAGCGGUGAAAUGCGCAGAUAUCAGGAAGAACACCUAGGGCGAAGGCAGCUCUCUGGGACGGUACUGACGCUGAGACGCGAAAGCGUGGGGAGCGAACAGG